AAAAAUUUAUUUAUUAUUUUUUUUUGUAGUAGUUUUAUUUUAUUAAAAUCAAUUUUAUAGUGUUUAAGUUUUUGUAUAGGGUAUAAAUAUAAUUUUGUUAAUAAUAGUUGAUUAGUAUUGUGGGAGGAUAUUGAAAUAACAUGAAAAAUUUUUUAUUAAAAAGUAUAAUUUAUUAUUUGUACCUUGUGUAUCAGGGUUUAUUAAUUAAAAAUUAUUUAUAAAUAAUUUUCUCGAUUUUAAUAGAGCUAAUAAAUUAUGUUAGUUAUUGUAUCAUAAAUAUUAAUAAUAAUUUAUUAGUAAUGAAAUGUUAUUCGUUUUUAAAUAUAUCUAGUUUUUUAAGAAAUGAAUUUAAUUCAGAUAUUAAUUUUAAUUAAUUUAUUUUUGUUUAUUAAUUAUUUUAAAUUAAUAUUAAUAUUUUAAGGGAUUAGCUUUAAAAUAUAAACUAUAAAUUUAAUUUUUAUUUAAAAGAUUAUAGGCUUAGAAAUAGUCAUUAGUUAAAUAAUGUUAUAAUUUAUUUUUUUUGUUUGAUAAUUUUUUUUUAUUUUUAGGAUUUUAUUAAAAUAUUUUUUUUAAUAGAAAAAAAAUUGAAAUAAUGAUAAAAUUAGUAUAAAAUAUUGUUUUAAUUAUUUAUUAUUUUAUAGAUUAAAAUAAGGAAUUCGGCAAAAUUAAUACUCGCCUGUUUAACAAAAACAUGUCUUUUUGAUAAUAAUUUAAAGUCUAAUCUGCCCACUGAAUUAUUUUAAAGGGCCGCGGUAUUUUGACCGUGCAAAGGUAGCAUAAUCAUUAGUCUUUUAAUUGAGGGCUGGAAUGAAUGAUUGAACGAAGUAUUAACUGUCUCAUUUUAAUUAUUAUUAGAAUUUAAUUUUUGAGUUAAAAAGCUUAAAUUUUAUUAAAGGACGAGAAGACCCUAUAGAGCUUUAUAUUAAUAUUAAUAAUUUUUUUUUAGUUUUAUUUUAGUUUUAUUAAUAAAAAUAUUUUAUUGGGGUGAUAGGAAGAUUUAAUUAACUCUUUUUUUUUUUUACAUUAAUUAGUGAAUUUUUGAUCCUAUAUUAUAGAUUAUAAGACUAAGUUACCUUAGGGAUAACAGCGUAAUUUUUUUUGAGAGUUCAUAUCGACAAAAAGGAUUGCGACCUCGAUGUUGGAUUAAGAGAUAAAUUUGGGUGUAGAAGUUCAAAAUUUUAGGUCUGUUCGACCUUUAAAUUCUUACAUGAUCUGAGUUCAGACCGGCGUAAGCCAGGUCGGUUUCUAUCCUUAAUUAAAUAAAAUAUUUUAGUACGAAAGGACCAAAUAUUUAAAAUAAUUUUUAAGAAUUGAUUAUUAUUAAU
rnacentral:rRNA from 1 species